GACGAACCGUGCAAACGUUGUUCGGAAUCACUGGGCUUAAAGGGCGCGUAGGCGGGCAGGCACGUCGAAGGUGAAAUCCCACGGCUCAACCGUGGAAGUGCCCCCGAUACUGGCUGUCUCGAGGGAGAUAGGGGCGUGCGGAACUUCCGGUGGAGCGGUGAAAUGCGUAGAUAUCGGAAGGAACACCGGUGGCGAAAGCGGCGCGCUGGAUCUCUUCUGACGCUGAUGCGCGAAAGCCAGGGGAGCAAACGGG
rnacentral:rRNA from 1 species